rnacentral:tRNA from 1 species
AGUUAAUUAACCUAAAAGUAUAUAUUUUGAAAAUAUAAUCUAAGAAAAUAAAAUUUUCUAUUAACUU